GACGAACGCUGGCGGCGUGCCUAAUACAUGCAAGUCGAACGCAGUGGGGACGGGUGAGUAACACGUGGGUAACCUCCCAUCAGAGGGGAUAACACUUGGAAACAGGUGCUAAACCGAUACUGAUGGAUGAACCCGCGGUGCAUUAGCUAGUGGGUGAGGUAACGGCUCACCAAGGCCACGAUGCAUAGCCGACCGGAGGGGGGGAUCGGCCACACUGGGACUGAGACACGGCCCAGACUCCUACGGGGGGCAGCAGUGGGGAAUCUUCGGCAAUGGACGAAAGUCUGACCGAGCAACGCCGCGUAAGGGAAGAAGGUUUCCGGAUCGAAAAACUCUGUUGUUAGAGAAACGGUACCUAACCAGAAAGCCACGGCUAACUACGUGCCAGCAGCCGCGGUAAUAC
rnacentral:rRNA from 1 species